rnacentral:rRNA from 1 species
GUGGGGAAUUUUGGACAAUGGGGGCAACCCUGAUCCAGCCAUGCCGCGUGCGGGAAGAAGGCCUUCGGGUUGUAAACCGCUUUUGUCAGGGAAGAAAUCCUUUGGGUUAAUACCUCGGAGGGAUGACGGUACCUGAAGAAUAAGCACCGGCUAACUACGUGCCAGCAGCCGCGGUAAUACGUAGGGUGCGAGCGUUAAUCGGAAUUACUGGGCGUAAAGCGUGCGCAGGCGGUUUUGUAAGAUCGAUGUGAAAUCCCCGGGCUCAACCUGGGAACGGCAUUGGUGACUGCAAGGCUGGAGUGCGGCAGAGGGGGAUGGAAUUCCGCGUGUAGCAGUGAAAUGCGUAGAUAUGCGGAGGAACACCGAUGGCGAAGGCAAUCCCCUGGGCCUGCACUGACGCUCAUGCACGAAAGCGUGGGGAGCAAACAGGAUUAGAAACCCGAGUAGUCC